rnacentral:rRNA from 1 species
CAGCAGUCGCCGCGGGAAUACGGAGGGCGCGAGCGUUACCCGGAUUUACUGGGCGUAAAGGGCGUGUAGGCGGCCUGGGGCGUCCCAUGUGAAAGGCCACGGCUCAACCGUGGAGGAGCGUGGGAUACGCUCAGGCUAGAGGGUGGGAGAGGGUGGUGGAAUUCCCGGAGUAGCGGUGAAAUGCGCAGAUACCGGGAGGAACGCCGAUGGCGAAGGCAGCCACCUGGUCCACUUCUGACGCUGAGGCGCGAAAGCGUGGGGAGCAAACCGGAUUAGAUACCCGUGUAGUCCCUGUCUCUUAUAC